GGAACCGACAGCAACGCACUCUACGCGCCUGCGCAGGGUCCCCUCGUCCUGCCCCAGCAGGCACGAAGCCACGCCCCCAAGGACGACCACACGCACGCGCGCUCCGUCACUCGCGGGCACGGACCCUCUCACCCUCACACUGGAGUCGCGAUGCACUGAGGCCCCGCCUCCACGGACGCUAGUACGCUUGCGCACUCUAUUCCGGUGCCUUAACCCGCACUGUAUCAGCCCAACACACGAGGGGAGGAGGCGACGCCCUUUCGGAUAAAGGCGUCCCAGCUUAUUGACAAACCUAGAUACUCCGAGUCCCCCGCCCGCCCCUCGCCGCCUAGUCCCGGGCCCCAGCUGGCCAGGAUCCCGUGGAACUCUGAGACCACAGCGGGGAGACUGCACAUGCGCACACGGAGGCUUCGACGACUCCCAGAAACCACGGCGGCGCGUGGGCGGUGCUGGAUGCGGAGGCGGGCACUUCCGGUCGUGCGGGCCCGGCGGCUCGUGGUCUGACGGGCGGCGUCGUCCGCUUUCCUGGGUGGUGGGUUCCCGACCCCGGCGGGGCGAGGGCGGCGGUGAGGUGUGGGUCGUGCUGGGGCGCGGAGGACUCUCUUCUUCCGCUGGAGAGGGACCCAGCGAAGUGGGCACUAGGCAUGUCACAGCACUUUUUGGGGUCAAAGAUAUGGUUCCUGGAGGAAAAGAUAACAGCCUUAUCUGGAGACUCAUCAUCUUGAAGUAGAGGCCCUGAAGAAGGCAGAUGAGGUGAAAUUGUAACACAUCUGCAGUUUUCUGAGGCACGUUGUCUCCAACAUUUAUUGCUACACAACAAACUCUCCCGAAAAUGUAGUAGCUAGAGCAAGGACCAUUUUAUUAUUUCCUGUAAUUCUGUGGGUGAGAAAUUCAUACUGGGCAUGUGAUGUCUGCUGGGGCUGGAAUACCCAAGAUGGCCUCUUCAUUCACACCUGUGAUACUGAGCUAGAAUAGCUGGGGUCCUAUGUCUAGGCCUCUAUUUUUGCUGCCAGCUGGGUUCCUCAGCUUUAUUCCUUGUUCUCAGAACCUGUCCCUCUUCAAUUGACCCCUUCUUAUGCCCUUUCCAGUGGGAUGGCUCGACUACUUGCCCUGAGUUUCCAUGAGCAUAAAAUAGAAUAUGCCAAGCCUUCUUUCUGUUUUGACCUAGAGCUGGCACAGCAUCUCUUGCAUCACAUUCUGUUAAUUAAAGCAAGUUGUAGACCCAGUGCAGAUUCAAGGAAAGGGAGACUGCAUUUCAUUUCAGCGAGUGAAUUAUCCUGAUAUGCACUCUAAAGAUCUACUAAAGGGAAUCUGUUUUUGAUUCCCUGAGGUAGAGUAUGUCUUCCCUCUUCAUCUGUGGUAAGGCUCUUUUUAACUAGUAAUCCUGUUUCUCAGCAGCAUGUCCUUUUUCCAUUCUGUCUUGUAUAAGGCUCUGUAUUUUUACAAAACACUAUUCUUUGAUACUGCUGUUUCUUUAUUGUAAAUAAAGUCUGAUCAUUUGAAUGCAUGUAUUCAUUGAUGAUUUAUUCACUAACAAACAUUUAUUCCUUUUUUAAAACUGGUCAAGUGUUGCGGGCCCCCAAGAUCACCCCCAGGUCCAAU
rnacentral:lncRNA from 1 species